rnacentral:rRNA from 1 species
UGAGGAAUAUUGCACAAUGGGCGAAAGCCUGAUGCAGCAACGCCGCGUGAGGGACGAAGGCCUUCGGGUCGUAAACCUCUUUUCUGAGGGACGAGCAAGGACGGUACCUCAGGAAUAAGUCUCGGCUAACUACGUGCCAGCAGCCGCGGUAAAACGUAGGAGGCGAGCGUUAUCCGGAUUUACUGGGCGUAAAGCGCACGCAGGUGGCUGUGUAAGUCGGACAUGAAAGCUCCUGGCUUAACUGGGAGAGGUGGUUCGAAACUGCAUAGCUUGAGGUUGGGAGAGGGACGUGGAAUUCCCGGUGUAGUGGUGGAAUGCGUAGAUAUCGGGAGGAACACCAGUGGCGCAAGCGGCGUCCUGGCCCACACCUGACGCUGAGGUGCGAAAGCGUGGGUAGCAAACA